CAAGUCGAGCGCUACCUUCGGGUGGAGCGGCGGACGGGUUAGUAACGCGUGGGAAUAUACCCUUCACUAUGGAAUAGCCUCGGGAAACUGAGAGUAAUACCAUAUACGCCCUUCGGGGGAAAGAUUUAUCGGUGAAGGAUUAGCCCGCGUAAGAUUAGAUAGUUGGUGGGGUAAUGGCCUACCAAGUCUACGAUCUUUAGCUGGUUUUAGAGGAUGAUCAGCAACACUGGGACUGAGACACGGCCCAGACUCCUACGGGAGGCAGCAGUGGGGAAUCUUAGACAAUGGGCGCAAGCCUGAUCUAGCCAUGCCGCGUGAGUGAUGAAGGUCUUAGGAUCGUAAAGCUCUUUCGCUAGGGAUGAUAAUGACAGUACCUAGUAAAGAAGCCCCGGCUAACUCCGUGCCAGCAGCCGCGGUAAUACGGAGGGGGCUAGCGUUGUUCGGAAUUACUGGGCGUAAAGCGUACGUAGGCGGAUCAGAAAGUAUGGGGUGAAAUCCCAGGGCUUAACCCUGGAACUGCCUCAUAAACUCCUGGUCUUGAGUUCGAGAGAGGUGAGUGGAAUUCCAAGUGUA
rnacentral:rRNA from 1 species